CCUACGGGUGGCAGCAGUGAGGAAUAUUGGUCAAUGGUCGAGAGUCUGAACCAGCCAAGUAGCGUGAAGGAUGACUGCCCUAUGGGUUGUAAACUUCUUUUAUGUGGGAAUAAAAUGUUCCACGUGUGGGGUUUUGUAUGUACCAUAUGAAUAAGGAUCGGCUAACUCCGUGCCAGCAGCCGCGGUAAUACGGAGGAUCCGAGCGUUAUCCGGAUUUAUUGGGUUUAAAGGGAGCGUAGGUGGAUUGUUAAGUCAGUUGUGAAAGUUCGCGGCUCAACCGUAGAAUUGCAGUGGAAACUGGCAGUCUUGAGUGCAGUAGAGGUGUGCGGAAUUCGUGGUGUAGCGGUGAAAUGCUUAGAUAUCACGAAGAACUCCGAUUGCGAAGGCAGCACACUGGACUGCAACUGACACUGAGGCUCGAAAGCGUGGGUAUCAAACAGGAUUAGAUACCCGGGUAGUC
rnacentral:rRNA from 1 species